CGGGGAGAAAGCAGAGGCCGAAAGGGGCCAGGCCCAGGGCGCCCGCCCUCCUUCCCUGGGCGCCCGCCCUGUCCUGGAUUCCGUUCGGGACUCUCUUCGCACAUGAUGUUCCACCGACCUAAAGGAUCAAGGAUAAUGUAGUACCACAUCGCCUACCGACCCAAAAACGCAUAGAGGAGGAGGACUAUAUAAGGAGACCCCCUGGCCCCUGGAGAAGACAAGAAGCUAUCAUAGAGAUUGAGGGGUGCCCUCGAAGGAAAACCUCUUCUCUAAAUAAAAUUUCUUUUUAGGCUUAGCAAAUAAUGUAAGUAGAAAUAUAUCCGUGCGCUUGCGGAUCAUUUCCUGAUUGCGUUACCAAAUAUCAACAAGCAUUUCUGGCGCCGUUGCCGGGGAGAAAGACGGUUUGCUGAGAUAACUUUGAGUCUUGCUAUUAUCUUGUAUUAUACUCUUAUACUUUUAUUCUUUUAUCUUUUUAUUUUUUUAUCUCUAUGGAUAACUCAAAUUCCAUACCUAUUAUUGAAUUCUUUGCACCUUCGGAGACCAGCCAUAGACCAUGGGAGUCAACAAGUCCUGCCCCUAAUUAUGAUCUGUGUCCAGAGUUGAUUGCAAUAGGUCGAAACCAACCCUUUUCCUACAGGGAUUAGUCAGACUCAAGCAGUUUUUAGUUCAAUAACCCUUUUCUAUAGAUUAGUCCCACAUUAAAACUGCUUGGUAUAUUUUGUCGGACUAAUCCCUGUAGGAAAACUUUCAAUAUUAACCUAGGAAGUCCUGAGCUACAAGCUCAUUGGAGAUAAAGGAGACACAUGAAAUUUAACGACUUGCACAAGGAAGACAUAGCUCAUUCAUCAUAAAGAGAUGAUCCAUGGAGGGUGCCACAAACACGAUGCACAACCGCUAAGAAAGGAAACCUUCCACAAGGUGAUACUAUACCAUCACUCUUCAUGUAAGGUAACACCUUAAGGUACUUGACUAUCACUUUUAUAAACUUCUCCUUGGUUCUGGCAU
rnacentral:lncRNA from 1 species